GAGAGUUGGUUUAACUGCCCGAACUAUGGCGGAAUAUUUCCGAGAUGUUAAUAAGCAAGACGUGCUUUUAUUCAUCGAUAAUAUCUUUCGUUUUGUUCAAGCAGGAUCGGAGUUAUAGAUCCCUUUUUAGUAGAAGCAAUUCUUUCUUGCAAAGAACCCAUUUCUGUACUAAGAGUAGGUUGAUAACCCACCGCGGAGGGCAUUCUCCCUAAUAAAGCGGAUACCUCCGAUCCUGCUUGAACAAAACGAAAGAUAUUAUCGAUGAAUAAAAGCACGUCUUGCUUAUUAACAUCUCGGAAAUAUUCCGCCAUAGUUAGGGAAGUUAAACCAACUCUCAUACGAGCUCCCGGUGGUUCAUUCAUUUGGCCAUAGACUAGAGCUACCUUUGAUUCCUCAAUAUUUUUUUCAUUAAUUACUCCGGAUUCCCUCAUU